GGUGGGUAUGUUAAUAGCAUACUCAUUUGACGUUAGCUGCAGAAGAAGCACCGGCUAACUCCGUGCCAGCAGCCGCGGUAAUACGGAGGGUGCGAGCGUUAAUCGGAAUUACUGGGCGUAAAGCGCAUGCAGGUGGUUUGUUAAGUCAGAUGUGAAAAGCCCGGGGCUCAACCUCGGAAUUGCAUUUGAAACUGGCAAACUAGAGUACUGUAGAGGGGGUAGAAUUUCAGGUGUAGCGGUGAAAUGCGUAGAGAUCUGAAGGAAUACCGGUGGCGAAGGCGGCCCCCUCGGACAGAUACUGACACUCAGAUGCGAAAGCGUGGGGAGCAAACAGGAUUAGAUACCCUGGUAG
rnacentral:rRNA from 1 species